UACGUAGGGGGCAAGCGUUGUCCGGAUUUAUUGGGCGUAAAGAGCGUGUAGGCGGCCAAGUAGGUCCGUUGUGAAAACUGGAGGCUUAACCUCCAGCUGUCGAUGGAAACCAUUUGGCUAGAGUCCGGAAGAGGAGAGUGGAAUUCCUGGUGUAGCGGUGAAAUGCGCAGAUAUCAGGAAGAACACCCGUGGCGAAGGCGGCUCUCUGGGACGGUACUGACGCUGAGACGCGAAAGCGUGGGGAGCGAACAGG
rnacentral:rRNA from 1 species